rnacentral:rRNA from 1 species
AACGCGAAGAACCUUACCCAGGCUCGAAAUGUAAUGGACGAUAUCAGAGAUGAUAUUUUCCGCAAGGACUAUUAUAUAGGUGCUGCAUGGCUGUCGUCAGCUCGUGCCGUGAGGUGUUGGGUUAAGUCCCGCAACGAGCGCAACCCUUAUCAUUAGUUGCCAACACGCGAGGUGGGGACUCUAAUGAGACUGCCUGGGUUAACCAGGAGGAAGGUGAGGAUGACGUCAAGUCCGCAUGGCCUUUAUGUCUGGGGCUACACACGUGCUACAAUGGUCGGUACAGAAGGCAGCAAGACCGCAAGGUGGAGCAAAUCCGUAAAGCCGAUCACAGUUCAGAUUGUAGUCUGCAACUCGACUACAUGAAGUUGGAAUUGCUAGUAAUGACGUGUCAGCAACAACGUCGUGAAUACGUUCCCGGGCCUUGUA